CCCUUAGAUGUUCGGGGCCGCACGCGCGCUACACUGAAGGAAUCAGCACGUCUUUCUCCUUGUCCGAAAGGACUGGGUAACCCGCUGAACCUCCUUCGUGUUAGGGAUUGGGGCUUGUAAUUCUUCCCCAUGAACGAGGAAUUCCCAGUAAGCGCGAGUCAUAAGCUCGCGUUGAUUACGUCCCUGCCCUUUGUACACACCGCCCGUCGCUACUACCGAUUGGAUGGUUUAGUGAGAUCCUCGGAUUGGUCCCGGAGCGGCCUCUGGUCGUGCCGGAGUGCCGAAAAGAAUGUCGAACUUGAUCAUCUAGAGGAAGUAAAAGUCGUAACA
rnacentral:rRNA from 1 species